GAUGAACGCUAGCUACAGGCUUAACACAUGCAAGUCGAGGGGAAACGGCAUUAAGUGCUUGCACUUUUUGGACGUCGACCGGCGCACGGGUGAGUAACGCGUAUCCAACCUUCCCAUGACUAAGGGAUAACCUGCCGAAAGGCAGACUAAUACCUUAUGGUCUUCACUGACGGCAUCAGAUGUGAAGUAAAGAUUUAUCGGUUAUGGAUGGGGAUGCGUCUGAUUAGCUUGUUGGCGGGGUAACGGCCCACCAAGGCAACGAUCAGUAGGGGUUCUGAGAGGAAGGUCCCCCACAUUGGAACUGAGACACGGUCCAAACUCCUACGGGAGGCAGCAGUGAGGAAUAUUGGUCAAUGGGCGAGAGCCUGAACCAGCCAAGUAGCAUGCAGGAUGACGGCCCUAUGGGUUGUAAACUGCUUUUGUAUGGGGAUAAAGUCAAUCACGUGUGAUUGUUUGCAGGUACCAUACGAAUAAGGACCGGCUAAUUCCGUG
rnacentral:rRNA from 1 species